rnacentral:tRNA from 1 species
GGAGAGAUGGCUCAGUGGUUAAGAGCACUGACUGCUCUUCCAGAGGUCCUGAGUUCAAUUCUCAGCAACCACA